rnacentral:rRNA from 1 species
GUCGGCCUACGGGACGCAGCAGUGAGGAAUAUUGGUCAAUGGGCUUACGCCUGAACCAGCCAAGUCGCGUGAGGGAAGACUGCCCUAUGGGUUGUAAACCUCUUUUGUCAGGGAGCAACGCCGGCUACGUGUAGCCGGACUGAGAGUACCUGAAGAAAAAGCAUCGGCCAACUCCGUGCCAGCAGCCGCGGUAAUACGGAGGAUGCGAGCGUUAUCCGGAUUUAUUGGGUUUAAAGGGUGCGUAGGCGGCAUGCCAAGUCAGCGGUAAAAUCGCGGGUC